CGAAUAUGUUGGAUAAUAAGAAGGGAUUAAGGAAAAGCCUAUUAAACAUCAAAUUGGGUUAUGAUUUUAGAUAUUAAGCACCAAAACAUCAUGUUAUACAACAAAUUUGACAGAAAAAGUAGUUCAAUAUGCAGUAAUGCUAUGUAGUAAUUACUGUAUUUACGAAUUUAGCACCAAAAUAUCAUGAUAUAUUGAAAACAUUGAUUACAAAAAUGCGUUGGAUAAUCCAGAGUGUUGGAUAAGUGAGUGUUGGAUAAGUGAGACUCUACUGUACAUUGAAAGAGGGGGGACAUUGUUUUUUAUAGGAAAGUAGGAAGAAGAAGAGGAGAGAGAGAGAAAAAAGAGAAAAAAGAAAAGAAAAAAAAGAGAGAAGAAAAGGGAUGCAAAUAACAAUCCGGGAGGAAUAUGAGAAUAUUUGUCUUCCGGUGAACAGAAACUCUCAUGCAAGAGAAAGCAACAAAAGCAAGGAAGGACAUCUCAAGUUGGAAUACAAAAUAAGCAACAUUAGUGCUAGCAAUAUGAUUUGUGAAGAGGUGGAGGCUGGGUGCAUCAUUCUCCAACACCCUGCACACCUGCACAGCUGAUCUCCAUCCUUGGAUUUUGAAGUAGAUUGUGAGGUCACAUCAGGAAAUCGCCCAUAGCCAUGACAGUGUAACUAUCUUCCCA
rnacentral:lncRNA from 11 species